UACAGAGGUCCCGAGCGUUGUUCGGAUUCACUGGGCGUAAAGGGUGCGUAGGUGGCUUGAAAAGUUUGAUGUGAAAGCUCAGGGCUUAACCCUGAAAUGGCAUUGAAUACUGUCGAGCUGGAGGUUUGGAGGGGGGGACUGGAAUUCUUGGUGUAGCGGUGAAAUGCGCAGAUAUCAGGAGGAACACCGGUGGCGAAGGCGGGUCUCUGGGCCGAUACUGACGCUGAGGAGCGAAAGCGUGGGGAGCGAACAGG
rnacentral:rRNA from 1 species